AACCCAUGAUGGAGACACCUUCUCAACAAAUCAUUGAAUCUCGCCCAUGUAUCAUAGAGAGUCACAACAUCAAACUAAACAAAAGAACAAAUGUCAUUCCUCAACUU
rfam:Gossypium hirsutum cultivar TM-1 unplaced genomic scaffold scaffold334.1, whole genome shotgun sequence